ensembl:lncRNA
GAAAAUUGCUGUAGUAAUAUAUAUCUCAUCCCCCAUCCCACAUCCUUUUGUUACUGCACAAAAUUGGGGCUCUCUUGUCUGAUGUGCAUAGAGAAUGUCAAUCAUUAUGACAUCAGCUUCUGGGAAAAGAAAUCACCUUUACUGCUGGACCCAUCUGCAAGGGGAUGGGGACGUAUGCCCUCAGAUGUGUCUCGCCGAUCCAGGGCUUGGGGCACAGUUUAAGGGAUGAAGGGCAGGACGGUCUGACGUGUGGAGGACGCAUGUUCACAAAAUGGCGGCGUUACCAUGGCCUGAGGAUGGAGUUUUUAGCUCCUGGACGUCAAAAGGUCACUUAUCGAGCAUUUGUGAAGGCCCUGUUGAUGCGCUGGUGGUCUCAACCGGCCUGAACUGGACGAGGGGGUCUCAGUUCCUGAACGACAACUCUUGAUUGCUCUGUUGACAAGACGGGGUCAGCUGAACUGGUCCUGGGGGGCCCGAGUUACACUUUCUUUGGAUAUGACACUGGCAUUCCUCAUAGAGAGGGGGGUGGGGUCUAUGCUCGCCCCUUGAACCCAGGCAAACCUUUGUAACUUCUUUGACCAAUAGAAUGCGGUGGAAAUGACGUUGCAUGACUUCCAAGGUGUCAUAAAAUGUGGCUUCCAUGUGGCUCUCUCUCUCCCCCUCCACCCCUCUCUCUCUCCCCCUGCAUCCCUCCCUCUCCCCUCGCUCUUCUUUCUCUCUCCCUUCUCUCUAGAUGCUCCUCUUGGAAUCCAGCCACCAUGUCAUGAGGAACCCAAACCACAUGGGGAGUCCAUGUGUGGGUGUCCUGAUGGACAGCCCCAGCCCGGCAUCAGCCUGGGAGCCAGUGUCCCUUCAGACGACCCAGCCCCAGCCUUGAGGCUCCCAGCUGAGGCCUCAGGCAUUGUGGAGCAGAGACAAGCCCUUCCCGCCAUGCCCUGUCCAAACUCCUGACCCAUGGAAACCACGUGAGAUGACACAUGGUUACUGAUGUUUGAAGCCACUAAAUCUUUUGUUACCCAGGAAUAGAUAACAGAGGGCGGGGCACAAAGAGAAAGAGUCAAAGAGACAGGGCGUCAGAGAGAGAGCGAGCGAGGCAGAGAGACAGAGAGACAGACACGAGCAGAUCAGAGAGAGAAACAGAAAAAGUCAGAGGAGCUCCGGGGUCCAGCACAGCCAGCCUUUCUCCAUUGGGCCUGGCCUGAUGACCUGGCCACCCUGUGUCCCAAAACCAAACUGAAGACUCCUUUCGACUUGAACCAGCUCCAGUGGACGUCCGCUCUGUGUGUGUUUUGCGCCUGACCCUCUCUCCCAGGACAGACUCCUACCCCACGGGAACUAAUGCCCUGUCCAGGGCCCGAGGCGGCCGGCAGCAGGCCCACAGAGGGUGGGAGUUCUCUGUCCUCCUGACCUUGGCCUCCUGGGCUGGUGUGGGUGGAAUGAGGUCACCCCAGGUCUAUGGAGCCCCACAUCCUUUUCCUCUUCUUCUCCCCUCACGCAGCAGCCAGCGUGCCCUUUGCCAAACCCACAUCUGAUCAUCGCACUGCUCAUUAACACCCGACAACUUCCCUGUGACAUGGGGACAGAGCCCGACAUGACCUGGGCUCACAGGCCUCGCCUCCUUGGCCCGGGGAGGCCCUGUGUCCGACUGCACGUUCCCUGGCUGCGAUGCUCCGGCUUGCUUUGUGGUUAAUGUCUUGCCCUCUCUGACCUCUGCCGAAGCCUCGUGCUCCCCAGCCCUACCCUGUCCUUCACGGCCCUCGCUCUGCAGUGAUUUGCGAUUCUGGCUCCGUUACCGGCUGUAUUGGUUUCUUGUAGCUGUUCUAGCAGAUACCACAAACGUGGGACCUUAAAACAAUAGAAGUUCAUCAUCACACAGCUGGGAGGGCAGAAGUCUGAAAUCAAGGUGUCGCAGGGCCAACUCGCUCUGAAUUCGAGGGAGGCUCCCUCCUGCCUCUUCCAGCUUCGGGCGGAAGAGACCCCGGCGUUCCUUGGCUGGUGGCCACAUCCCUCCAGCCUCUGCCUCCUCCUCACAUGGCCAUCUCCCUCUGUGUCUGAGUCUCAAAUCUCCCUCUGCCUUUCUCCCGUCACUGGCUUUAGGGCCGCCCUUAAUCCAGGAUGAUUGAGAUCAGCAACUUAAUUACAUCUGCAAAACCCUUUUCCCAAAUAAGGACCCAUUGACAGGUUCCAGAAGUUAGGGGGUGGACUUAUCUUUUUGGGGGGCCGCCAUUCACCCCACCACCCUGGACCGUAGGUUCUGUGGGCAGUGCCCACUCUGCAGGCACAGUGCUGGGACAAUGUGGCCUGUUAAUUCUGGCCGAUUAACGACUUUAUCCAUUUGUUCAAUAAAAAGUCCCAGGCAAGCUCCUGUGAGAGAAGCAAAGUAUCUGUCUGACCAGAGGCAGCUUUCAAGGAACCUCCACGUCUGCCGGGAGAGAGAGGACCGCUCCCCGCACAGCUGUAAGUGAAGGUGAGGAGAGACCAACGCGGCGAGGGGGCGGAGGCUGGAGCCCAGGGCCCGGCUGGUCAUGUGGGGCCUGUGGGGAGGCAUCUGGGGAGCAGGAGGAGGCUGUCUCCCCCUGGGCCGUGGUGUUGGGAGCGGAGGGCCUGGUGUGCGCAGACACUGGGUUCUAGAAGGCAGUCUUGGGAGCUGGAGGAGGGGAGGAGGCUGGAGUGUACAUUGCAAAGGGCCCCAAAUGCCCAGCAAAGGAAGGCAGAGGUGAUGGUGAAGGAGCCUGCCAGCAUCAGUGACAGAGACGGAGUUGCAUGGCCGAAAAAAUUAACCUGGUGGUGAGGGAAGGAGGGAGGGGAAGGCAGGGCUGUGGGCAGCAAUCUUGAGGGGCUGGGUUAGGGUCCCACCUCACUUUGUUUUUAAAACUGGAAGUCCUGAUCCCAGAACCCCCUCAGUCUGGGGCAAACUAGGGCAGUGGGU